rnacentral:rRNA from 1 species
UACGUAGGAUGCGAGCGUUAAUCGGAAUUACUGGGCGUAAAGCGUGCGCAGGCGGUUUUGUAAGCCAGAUGUGAAAUCCCCGGGCUCAACCUGGGAAUGGCAUUUGGGACUGCAAGGCUUGAGUGCGGCAGAGGAGACUGGAAUUCCUGGUGUAGCAGUGAAAUGCGUAGAUAUCAGGAGGAAUACCGAUGGCGAAGGCAGGUCUCUGGGCUGACACUGACGCUCAUGCACGAAAGCGUGGGGAGCAAACAGG